rnacentral:misc_RNA from 1 species
GAUGAAGAACGUAGCGAAAUGCGAUAAGUAAUGUGAAUUGCAGAAUUCAGUGAAUCAUCGAAUCUUUGAACGCACAUUGCGCCCGCUAGUAUUCUGGCGGGCAUGCCUGUUCGAGCGUCAUUUCAACCAUCAAGCCCUGUUUAGGCUUGUGUUGGGGCCCUGCGGUUGCCGCAGCCCCCUAAAUGCAGUGGCGGGCUCGUUGUCACUCCGAGCGCAGUAGCGUAUCUCGCUCUGGGCGUGGCGGCGGGUGCUAGCCGUGACACACCCACUAAGGUUGACCUCGGAUCAGGUAGGAAUACCCGCUGAACUUAAGCAUAUCAAUAAGCGGAGGA